UACCUGGUUGAUCCUGCCAGUAGCAUAUGCUUGUCUCAAAGAUUAAGCCAUGCAAGUGUAAGUACACACGGACUGUACAGUGAAACUGCGAAUGGCUCAUUAAAUCAGUUAUGGUCCCUUUGAUCGCUCUCACGUUACUUGGAUAACUGUGGCAAUUCUAGAGCUAAUACAUGCAAACGAGCGCUGACCCUCCGGGGGAUGCGUGCAUUUAUCAGAUCCAAAACCCAUGCGGGGAGCCCCUCCGGGGGUGCCCCCGGACCCCUUUGGUGACUCUGGAUAACCUCGAGCCGAUCGCUGGCCCCCCGCGGCGGCGACGUCUCUUUCGAAUGUCUGCCCUAUCAACUUUCGAUGGUACUUUCCGU
rnacentral:ncRNA from 1 species